ACUGUGGUGCAAGAUUUCUUCAUCGACCUGCAGCUGCCCUACUCUGUGGUUCGUAAUGAACACGUGGAGAUCCGAGCUGUCCUCUACAACUACCAGGAAGCAGAUACGCUCACGGUGAGAGUAGAAUUGCUCUACAAUCCAGCCUUCUGCAGCUUGGCCACUGCCAAGAAGCGUCACCUGCAGACUGUAUCCAUCCCUCCCAAGUCCUCGCUGGCCGUGCCUUAUGUCAUUGUGCCUCUGACAGUCGGCUUGCAGGAGGUAGAGGUCAAGGCCACUGUCUAUCGGUACUUCAUCACCGACGGUGUAAGGAAGACCCUGAAGGUCGUGG